CCACCAGUUGAAUGGGUUACGUUUCGCUCUUCGGAAAAGCUUAGGGAUUCAAGGAAUUUCAUCAAAAUCCUUGUUCCAUGCUGGUUUCCACAAUUAGGUUAGUUUCUCCGAAGAAGAAUAAUCUAUUCACAAAGCUCCAAUUUAAUCGAUUACUUGCAGUUCCAUCGCUCGCCCAUUUCACCCCUUACUUCUCCGAUUCGGGUUCCGAUAUCGAUCAUUCUAGAAACGACGUUACUCUCUCAAAUUACCCUAACAAUGGCAAUGGUAUUAGUAUUAAUAAUUCAUUCGAAUUCAAUUCGUCUAGGGUUGUGCAGAAUCUAACAGAUAUGCGGUGUGAACCCAAAUCUGCAUUAUCCUUCUUCAACCAACUCAAAGAAAAUGGUUUUCAACACGAUAUCGAAUGUUACUUGGCUAUUAUCAAGAUACUCUGCUAUUGGGGAUUGGUUAGAAAUUUGGAUUCUUUGUUCACGGAUGUUAUAAUUUCGAAAAAGGAGCAUCUUUCUUUCGAGGUGUCGGAUUUGUUGGAGGCUAUAGCGGAGGAGUUCAAGGCCGCCGGGCGGCAAAGCUCGCUCUUUCGUGCUUUCGACGCUCUCGUGAAGAGUUACGUUAGUUUAGGAAUGUUCGACGAGGCAAUUGACACUCUUUUCGGUACAAAAAGGCGCGGUGUGGGCCCGUGUUUGCUUUCGUGUAAUUUCUUGUUGAAUAGGCUAAUUGGGCACGGGGAUGUGGGUGUUGCCUUUGCUCUCUACGAGCAUAUGAAGAAGACUCUCGAGCUGAUUCCGAACGUGUAUACUUACGGGAUUGUGAUUAAGGGGCAUUGUAUAAAUGGUGAUUUGGAAGAAGCUGCGAAGGUGCUUCUUGAAAUGGAGGAAGCUCGUGUGGCGCCUAAUGCGUUUACGUAUACGGCUUAUCUUCAAGGGCUGUGCGCGCACGGUAGGUCGGAUGUAGGGUACGAGCUCUUAAGAAAGUGGAAAGACACAAACGCGCCUCUCGAUGAUUAUGCGUGUACUGUAGUGAUUCAGGGAUUUGUUAGCGAAAGCAAACCCGAACGGGCGGAGAUUGUUUUACGUGAAAUGGAAGAAAACGGCUUUGUUCCCGACGAAGCUAACUACCGUGCGUUGGUUCGUGGGUAUUGUGAUUGUGGCGACAUAAAUAAAGCGUUGAAUAUCCAUACUGAGAUGGAGGGAAAGGGUAUCAAAACCAAUUGUUUUAUCCUCACUCCGAUUCUUCAGUACUUGUGUCUGAGAGGUAUGUAUAGUGAAGUAAUCGACCAGUUUAAGAACUUGAACGAUUCGGGCAUAUUUCUUGAUGAAGUUGCGUAUAAUGUUGCUAUGGAUGCAUUGUGCAAGAUGGGUGAGUUGGACGAUGCUCUGAGAUUGUUCGACGAGAUGAAGUGCAAGAAUCUCGUACCAGAUGCCGUGCAUUACACCACUUUGAUUAAUGGUUGCUGUCUCCAUGGAAGUAUUUCCGAUGCUGUAAACUUAUUCGACGAAAUGAUUGAAGAUGGUCUCAAAGCUGAUGUUAUUACAUAUAAUGUCCUCAUUUCUGGACUCGCUCGGAAUGGUUUUACGCGCAAAGUAUUUGACCUUCUCGAUAGUAUGAAACAGCACGGGUUGACUCCCAGUGCGUUGACGCACAGCUUUAUCAUUGAAGGCCUGUGCUUUGCAAGAAAGUCGAAGGAAGCCAAAAAUUAUUUCGGUAAUUUGGAAGAGAAGAGUGUAGAAAAUUGGGCUUCUAUGGUCAACGGUUACUGCGAAUUGGGCGAGGCAACUGAAGGAUAUGAACUUUUUCGUAAACUGCUCGAUCAAAGAAUUUUAGUACAUAGAAAUACCUCUUCGAAACUAAUCGACUGCCUCUGCUUGGAAGGCAAAAACAACCGUGCUAUCGAGGUAUUCGAGGCUAUGCUUUUUUGGGGUGACGUCCCUAGUGAGACAAUGUACAGCAAGCUUAUUGCCGCCCUUUGUCGUGCUGGCGAUAUGAAAGGGGCAAAAUGGGUAUUUUGCAAUAUGGUAGGGAAACGAUUAUCUCCAGAUUUGGUUACGUACACAAUGUUGUUGAACGGUUAUUGUCAGGUGAAUCGUCUGAAGGAAGCUCUUGCUCUUUUCGGCGAUAUGAAGAAAAGGGGCAUUAGUCCCGAUAUCAUCACUUAUACCGUAUUACUGGAUGGUGGUUGUAAAAUAAUGGCUAAAUCACGAAAGAAUGGCAAAAAAAACAAUACGAUAAUUAAAGAGAUGGCUUCGGCUCUUUGGCGUGAGAUGGAGGAGAUGGGAUUAAAACCGGAUGUGAUUAGCUACACAGCAUUAAUCGACAGUCGGUGUAAAUUGGGCAAUCUUGAAGUUGCUGUUUCGCUUUUCGAUGAAAUGAUCGAACGGGGUAUACUACCUGAUACAGUUGCGUAUACGGCGCUUUUAUCGGGAUAUUGUAAGAUGGGAAAUAUGAACGAGGCCGACACUCUUUUGGAUGAGAUGUCGUCGAAAGGAAUAGAGCCGAAUACCCGUACGAUGACCACUUUCCAUAACGGGACGAAGAAAUUCUCUGCAAAUCGUAAUCGAGGACAGCUAAAAGACAGAAUGAAUUGUUAGAGUUCACUUGCAAAACAUUCAGAAGCCCAAUUUCAAUGCAAAGCCCAUAUUCUCAGGUUGAUACUAUGAUAAUACAAGCCAUAAGCUUUGUUGGAUGACCUCUCGACGAAAGAGCUAAAAACGUGCACGUAUGUAAUGAGGGUUAGGGAAAGGUAUGGUUGGAAGUUUCCGGAACUUGCGAAGAAUCAUACAUAUACAAGACAAUUCCUGCGAAGCUUGAUUUCUCUGAGAUACUUUAAGUGGAAGUCGAGACAGGCAGAACUGCCGAAAGAAACAAAUCUAUGGGUUUGAAGAACAGAGCUAAGAUGAGAAGAAGAAAACGAGAAAACACCAAGCGAACAAGAAGAAGAAAAUGAAGAUUGAACAUUCAUGAGAAAGUUGGGCUUUUAUGUUCUAAUAUAAAAGGCGGUUGUUUUCAAUCGACGUGAUUGGCGGAGUUGCAAAGGUGGCUUGCAGCUUAUCGGUGCGAGGGGUAUUUUGGUCCGAUUACUAAUGAUGGAAUGCCUGGUGGUCUGUUAGCAAAAUGCUAAAUAUGUUUGUCUUUAUUUGAAAGGAAAUUAUAGUAGAUGGAUGUAUAGCAAAUUGCCCCUUUUUAAAUAGGUAAUUGUAUAAAAGACGAUACAAAAGCACUUCGUAAUUACGUUAUAUUGAAGGGGGAGUGAGUAACUGUAAUUUCUCUAAUAAAAAAAGGGGUAAAUGGGUGAUACCCCUAUUUCUGAAAAUA